GCUUUCUUGGCUCAGUUGGUUAGAGCGCCAGUCUCAUAUGUACUUUGCGAUGUGAAAUUUGGGUAAUUCUUCAAUCUGGAGGUCGAGAGUUCGACCUUCUCAGAGGGCA